rnacentral:rRNA from 1 species
AGUGAACGCUGGCGGUAGGCCUAACACAUGCAAGUCGAACGGCAGCACAGUAAGAGCUUGCUCUUACGGGUGGCGAGUGGCGGACGGGUGAGGAAUACAUCGGAAUCUACUUUUUCGUGGGGGAUAACGUAGGGAAACUUACGCUAAUACCGCAUACGACCUACGGGUGAAAGCAGGGGAUCUUCGGACCUUGCGCGAUUGAAUGCGCCGAUGUCGGAUUAGAUAGUUGGCGGGGUAAAGGCCCACCAAGGCGACGAUCCGUAGCUGGUCUGUGAGGAUGAUCAGCCACACUGGAAGUGAGACACGGUCCAGACUCCUACGGGAGGGAGCAGUGGGGAAUAUUGGACAAUGGGCGCAAGCCUGAUCCAGCCAUACCGCGUGGGUGAAGAAGGCCUUCGGGUUGUAAAGCCCUUUUGUUGGGAAAGAAAAGCAGCAGGUUAAUACCCCGCUGUUCUGACGGUACCCAAAGAAUAAGCACCGGCUAACUUCGUG